ACAGAGUUGAUCAUUCUCUUUCUUUUAAAAGGCAAGGAAUUUCCCCAGAGGACCUGAAGAACUCUUCGGAGCAUAUAUAAUUCAUAAACGGUGCGUGUCAUCGUGGCACCACUGAGCUCCUAACUGCUCUUUGGCCUUCAGUGAUGGUGACACGGCUUUGGUGCCUGAAGUCCCUCCCUCCCGCUGCGGCCUGAGACGCACCUGUGCAUUCACGCGGGUGCCCUCACGCUAGCAGGCGGAGCGGGACGACCUGUCAUCGCAGCAGUAGCUUCGUCUUGAGUGUCCAUAAGGGGCACCGAGAUUCAAGAUCUCAGUGCCGUGUCAGCAUCUCAACACGGGCUCCCGCCAAACCAAAGGACAGCUGAGACUCGGCAUUCUUCCACUGUUUGUUGGAGGAGGGAGGUUCUUGUCUCUAAGUCCCAACUGAUCCUGCUGCAGUCCUUGUCUGCAGGUGGACUUUUAGUAAUGGCAGCAGCAUGAGAACCUGUGGCCCGCACUUCAGGAAGGAGAAGGGGUGUGAGAAUGACCAAGUGACCGGGAGCUGUGAGGUGCCGCAUCUGUAGAAAUGCCGGCGGCCACAGCCGAGGCCCGCUGAGAAACCGUGAUGGACUUCCCCAUCGUUCCACCAAAAUGACA